rnacentral:tRNA from 1 species
GUAGCAGUGCUCAACUGGAUAAAGGCCGGAGUACCACUCUGGGUGUCACGGGUUCGAGUCCCGCCUUCCACC